CUGCGUCACAGCUGACCGCUUUCCGCUGGACUCGCGUGCCUUGUGGAGUCGUGAUGGGAUCCACCUGAGUGACGAUCUGGGGAUGCCGCUUCUCGCCAAGCUUCUGUGGCACUUCUCCUUUCGGCAGCUACAGUCACCUCUGCCUGUUACACCACCGCCUGUCUCUCCUCCCAAGUCACCCCCGACUGUGAGACCCUUUGCUACCACCGUGGUUGUGAAGGGAGAAGUUUCACGUCCACGUCCCCUUGACCCCUUCAAGGAAACUGUCGUCGGACGUCGCGGAAAGCGCAGCCAACCUGAGUCCUGGGAUGCGCCUGAGGACUGGGAUCAGUCUUCCGUGCGGAUCCUUCCUCAUGAGGUUUGUGUGCCUCCUCUGGUCCUGAGGGAGUGCUUUGUCGUGCUAAACCCUAUCCGGUUUAGCACUGACAAGUUGGCUGCAAUGGAUCGCAUUGUUCCAUCCAACCUUGACGUCCCCAUGGGGAAUCGCUCAAAGAAACGGAAGGUGGCACAUGGAACCACGGCUGUGGUCUCCAAAGGAAAGAAGGCCC
ensembl:lncRNA